rnacentral:rRNA from 1 species
UACGUAGGUGGCAAGCGUUGUCCGGAUUUACUGGGCGUAAAGAGCGCGCAGGCGGUCGGAUCAGUCGAAUGUGAAAGCCCCCGGCUCAACUGGGGAGGGUCAUUCGAUACUGUCCGACUCGAAGGCAGGAGAGGGAAGCGGAAUUCCCGGUGUAGUGGUGAAAUGCGUAGAUAUCGGGAGGAACACCAGUGGCGAAGGCGGCUUUCUGGGCUGUUCUUGACGCUGAGGCGCGAAAGCUAGGGGAGCGAACGGG